rnacentral:rRNA from 1 species
CCCAGUGAUAAUUUAUUUAACGGCCGCGGUAUUUUGACCGUGCAAAGGUAGCAUAAUCAUUUGCCUUUUAAUUGGAGGCUGGAAUGAAUGGAUAUAUGAAAUUAUAACUGUCUCUUAAUUAUAUUUAAAAAUUAUCUUAUAGGUGAAGAGACCUAUAUAUUAAUAAAAGACAAAAAGACCCUAUUGAUCUUUAUUCUUACGAGAUAUUUUAGAAUUAAUGACUUCAUGACUUAAUAGAAUUUGGUUGGGGCGACUAAGAAAUAUAUAAAUCUUUCUUUAUUUUAAUGAAUAUCUUUUCUUAUUAAUGAUCUAUUUUUUAAUAAAUGGAAAUAGUUACCAUAGGGAUAACAGGCUAAUUUUUUUGGAGAGUUCAUAUUGAUAAAAAAGUUUGGCACCUCGAUGUUGGCUUAGAAUAUCCUAUAGGUGUAGCAGCUUAUAAGGGUUGGUUUGUUCAACCAUUAAAAUUCUA